UCCGAAUUGGUCCAGCGGUCAGGAUCUCCCGCUCUCAUACAGAGCUCGGAUCGGCAAAAGCCAAUCAGGCGCCGGGAAGGCCCGGGUUCGACUCCCGGAUUCGGAA